GUGCAGACGAGGUCAUCUAUUCUGCAGAGCAGGCUGGAAGCAGUACGUCCAGGAUGUACUGCUGAGGGCUUGGUGGAAGUCAGUGCAAGAGAGACAAAAAAAAAACACGUCCUGAAUCCAGAGGCACCCUUUUUCGUGAGUGCACUCAGCGAGACAGAUGGACAUCCAGUGGAC